GAGUUUGAUCAUGGCUCAGACUGAACGCUGGCGGCAUGCCUUACACAUGCAAGUCGAACGGCAGCACGGGAGCUUGCUCCUGGUGGCGAGUGGCGAACGGGUGAGUAAUGCAUCGGAACGUAUCCUGGAGUGGGGGAUAACGUAGCGAAAGUUACGCUAAUACCGCAUAUUCUGUGAGCAGGAAAGCGGGGGACCUUCGGGCCUCGCGCUCUUGGAGCGGCCGAUGUCGGAUUAGCUAGUUGGUGAGGUAAAGGCUCACCAAGGCGACGAUCCGUAGCAGGUCUGAGAGGAUGAUCUGCCACACUGGAACUGAGACACGGUCCAGACUCCUACGGGAGGCAGCAGUGGGGAAUUUUGGACAAUGGGGGCAACCCUGAUCCAGCCAUGCCGCGUGAGUGAGGAAGGCCUCGGUUG
rnacentral:rRNA from 1 species